AGUUUGGGAAUGCUGCUCAAAAUGGGAGGUAUAUUUCUUCUAAAGCUAAAUAUUGGCCAGAGACCGAUAGCGCACAAGUAGAGUGAUCGAAAGAUGAAAAGCACUUUGAAAAGAGGGUUAAACAGCACGUGAAAUUGUUAAAAGGGAAGCGCUUGUGACCAGACUUGCGUCCGGUGAAUCACCCAGCUCUCGCGGCUGGGGCAUUUUGCCGGCUCAGGCCAGCAUCAGCUUGCCGUCGGGGACAAAAGCUUCGGGAACGUAGCUCUCUUCGGGGAGUGUUAUAGCCCGUUGCAUAAUACCCUUCGGUGGGCUGAGGUACGCGCUC
rnacentral:rRNA from 1 species